CUGCCAAAUGAAUUUAACCCCAUUUUAGACUAGAAGGUUAUUGUGAGAUUAUUUUGGAUGAAGAUACUAAUCCACUUCUGCAGUUCUGUUGUAGACAGCUUGAAGCUUAAACGUGAAUGUUAAAGUAGUCUGAUGCACAUCACACACACCUAAAGGCAUCACAGGAAUUCACUCCUCAAUGUGAAAUCAAGGAGAAGACCUCUCUGUCACAGAGGAAGACGUAGAAACUUUAACUGAUUUGAUGUCAGUUUGCUGUUAAAAAAACAUUCUAGGUUAAGCUCCACUGUAGAAAACAAUCUUGACUUCAGUUUGUAAAAAUAAAAACCGAAUGUAUGCAGUUAUGCUCUUACAAUGGAAGUCUGGAGAGUUUAAAACAAAAAUGUGCAGCAUGUAUUUUUUAAAGCUAUUAAUUCUUCUGUACAAAAAAUUUGUGUUGAUUGAGCAGUGUUAAUUUUGUUGACUAAUAAUUUCACUGACGAAAACGAGACUAUAACUUAAAAACAGUAAUGAAUGAAAAAAACUAUGACAAAAAUCUAUUGACAUUUUCAACAGCAUCAUCUACCUGCGUGGGAGAUGAUGCGUACAUUUGAAUUGUAACGUGCUGAUCUACCCAGCGGGACAUAAGUUGGCAUAAACAUCUGGGAGAAAGAGCAGACGUAUAGAUAAAUCUGAAAAAGUGUGAUGACGCGAAAGAGAGCUCAAUUCAAUCCGGUUUUCUGUUCGGUUCAGUCCAGCUCAAUUCAGUCCAGUUUUUUCACACAGAAAGCCGCAGACGUCAGCACACGAGUACUGAAUUGAGCUCUCUUUCGCGUCUUUUCACACUUGAAUGGACAAAUACACACAAAAUUAGGUCAAAAUGUCUGUUUUGGCGAGUAUUCACGUAAGUGAAUGUAAACAGUUGGGAGGAUAUCGGAUGUGUAUCAGUGUAUUGGAUCCGUGCAUUCGGUCUUAAAGUGAAAGCAGCCUAAUAGCCUGCUGCUGUCCGUUAUUAAUGUUAUUCAAACAACAAAAGAAAAAGAGAAAUCACUCAGUGUUCUUGACUGAAUAACUUUAAUAGCUUUAAUAAGGAUUAAUCUAUUUUAAUUUAUACAAUUAAAUAUGUCUGCUUCAAAGAAUGAUGAAUGUUGAAUGCAAGUUGUUAUAAAGAAUGCAUACAUCAUUAAUUCAAAAGAAGAUCUUGUUUCUAUAUGAGAAGUGGAUUUAUUUAGUUUUAAGAUAAAUAAAGACAUAUUAUAUGUCACAGCAGUUAAAUCUGUCAAAAUUAGCACUGUGGUCCUGUUUCCACCUGGUAUUAAGAUGUGUUUUGGUUGAUCAGAUCACAAGUGGAUGACGCUAAAUACAGGUGUAAACGGGGUGUAAAGCGUGUCCACUUUCGACCACUUUCACGCUCAUGUGGUCGAUUGUGUGUGAACAGCCAAUAAAGACCUUCUACUCUCCUCCUACUGACUUAAUGCAUAAACAUUUUAACAACAGAUUUGAAGGCAAAAAUGUACCAAACACAAUGUUCUCUCACCAGUCCUGAUUUCUAACACACACUCAGCAUAUUCAGCGGGGUCUUGUGGCUGUGAGAGCAGAAACGAAAGCUGAUGAUCUCUAUGUUUUUCUGUUGUCUCCGGUAGUGUUCAUAUGUAAAUUGCGCUAGCUUAUUUUGUCCAUUAGAUCAAAAGAUCUGAAUAAAACCAUACAUCUACCCAUCCAUAGACCCUCCCCUCAAAGAAAUCAGGACAGAAGUGGUUGAAAGUGGACAAAAGAGACAGAUUAAAACACCAGGUGUAAACGGGAAUGUGUCUCCUUCGUCCACUUGUGAUCCGAUCGACCAAAACACAUCUUAAUACCAGGUGGAAACAGGGCCUGUGAUUAAGCUGUAAAGCUGACUAAAAUGUCCUUAACUGGAGAGACUACUGUGUAGGUGGACUAACCUUUAGGUGGCAGUUUCUCCAUGUAAAGUCUCUUUCUGGUGUCCUUGCAUGUAUUAAGUGAGGUACCGAGCACCAAGUAUCCUGUUCUUGCCCCACAGACUUCCAUUGUAAGGGCUUUACUGUAAACACAAUUUCUGCUCAUUUUUAGAGGUUGACCGAUAAAUUUAUCAGAUAUAAGAAUGGGGAGAAAAAAACUAAAAUCAGUAAAUGGUGGCACCGAUUAAUAAGUGAAUGUGAUAACUUUUACUGUCAAUAAAAGUUGUUUUUACAAACUGAGGAACAAGUUGAAAUUAUUUUUUUUUAUAGUAACUGACAGCAUAAAUACGGGAAGUUUUAAUUUCAGUCUGCCAGUUCAAACAGAAAAUGUGUCCACUAAAAAUAAAUAAAUGAAAUCUAUAAAUUUUAUGCAUGCCAAAUGGAUUUCAAGAAACUGAAAGAGAUUAUAUGAUUAUCAAAUCCCCAGCCUAAAGAUAAUGUAAUAUCACAUAUUAUACUUUUGUAUCACACUAUUGUUCAAAAAUGUGGGUUCAGUAAGAUUUUUUAAAUACAAUUGUUCAGCAAGUACACAUUAAAUUGAUCAAAAGCAGCACAUAAGCAGCACAACUGUUUUCAACAUUGAUAAUAAUAAUAAAAAUGUUCAUUGAGCAGCAAAUCAGCAUAUUAGAAUGAUUUCUGAAGGAUCACAUGACUCUGAAGACUGGAGUAAUGAUGCUGAAAAUUCAGCUUUGCAUCACAAGGAUAAAUUACAUUUUAAAAUAUAUUCAGAUAGAAAACAGUUAUUUUGAAUUAUAAUAAUAUUUCACAAAAUUACUAUUUUUACUGUAUUUUUCAUCAAAUAAAUGCUGCCUUUGUGCACAUUUCAAAAACAUUAAAAAAUCAUACCAACCCCAAACAUUUGAACUGUCAUGUGUAAGCUAAUAGUUAGUUUUUACAAACAUCUUGACUGACCAUCUGCAAACAUUUAAGUUCACAGUUACUUCCUUGACAGAUCAGAUGUCUUCUCCUUCAGAUUCUGUACUCUCUCUCUCUCUCUGUCUUUGUCUCUCUUGUUUUGUCUCCCUCUCUCUUGCCCUAUACUGUGCCUUGCAUGUAUUCAGCCUUGGGUUUUGAUGUGUGUAUGUGAAAGCCUCUGAGUUCUCUGAUUGGCUCUGUCUAUCACAUGCUUGAGUUUGUGGGCGGGGUAACAGUUUGUCUUAUCGUUGCUUGUCGCAUUAGGCAGUUUCAGCGCCGGAAAUGGCCUAAAGUGAGGAAGCCUGUCUCCAAAUCGCUAGGACAGAUAUGGGAAGGAUGGGAAGGAUAACUCAUGGAACGAGGACAUCCCGGAAGACACCGACCUGUUUCCCGGCGAGUCGAACUGGUCCGAACUUGAACCUUUGUACAGACUUGAUGAGCACGCCUACGAUCUCAAACUCAACUUCACCCUCAGCCUCGAGGACUGGGCUCAUUUCAGCCGCUCCGUGGACCACAUGUUCACGCUCCUCAGCAACGACAACCAGCCGUACUCUCCGCCCCG